GCCCGCUCAAGAAACUCAACGGAAUGGACGGGGCCCGCACAAGCGGUGGAGUAUGUGGUUUAAUUCGAUGCAACGCGAAGAACCUUACCUGGUCUUGACAUCCCGGAGACCCUUAGGAAACUAGGGGGUGCUUCCAUCUGGAAGAAUCUGGAGACAGGUGCUGCAUGGCUGUCGUCAGCUCGUGUCGUGAGAUGUUGGGUUAAGUCCCGCAACGAGCGCAACCCUUGCCUUUAGUUGCCAGCAGUUCGGCUGGGCACUCUAAAGGGACUGCCGGUGUUAAACCGGAGGAAGGUGGGGAUGACGUCAAGUCCUCAUGGCCUUUAUGACCAGGGCUACACACGUACUACAAUGGCCGAUACAAAGGGCAGCGACACUGCGAGGUGAAGCCAAUCCCGUAAAAUCGGUCUCAGUCCGGAUUGGAGUCUGCAACUCGACUCCAUGAAGUUGGAAUCGCUAGUAAUCGUGGAUCAGCAUGCCACGGUGAAUACGUUCCCGGGCCUU
rnacentral:rRNA from 1 species